UCUCCAGGUCCAUGAUGCUCUCCUGGGUCAGCUUCAGGUCACCCUCCAGCUUCCGCUUGGCUCGCUCCAGGUCCAUGCGCACCUUCUUCUCCUGCUCCAGGGAUCCCUCCAGCUGGCGGAGAGAAGGACCAGCCAUGUGCCAUGAGGCACAAAAACAUCUUUCUUGAGGUCAAAAGGCCUUGUCUGCGCCUCCAGCCGCUCCUUCUCAGACUUGCGCAGGAAGGGGGCUGCAGCCCCAAAUGCAGCCAUCUCUGCAUCUGCCAUGGCUGAGCCUGGGAGUGCCAUGUUUCUACCGAUCUGCCAUAUUUCUCAGACCAGCAACACGUACAAUAUCAUCGUGAGAGCAAUGAAGAGUGACCGCGACUCUAGACCAUGAUAAUGCAGCCCCGAGCACACGGAGUAGGGGUGAAGAGAGAACUCCUUGCCUUGUUCUCUGUUCCCUUUUGUCUUUUCUGGUACUGUUUUCUCAUUCCCAGCUCUUUUUCUGCAACUUAGGAGGGUGGCUCUUAAGUACUCAGAGAGUAUGAGAUGGACUCGCAGAUGCCAAAGCUCAGAGGGCUCCCUCCUCACUUGCACAGAUGCACCGAGGGAGCUUGUCCUGGAGCUGGCGGGUCCCUCACAGUCUUUGGCUCUCACUGAUUGGCCUGACAAGCAUCUCAGUCUCCAGAGGUCUCUGCUCUUAAGGUAAAAUGGGUACAUAGAGGUCUGGGAAAUAAGCCAUGCCUAGAGACCCAGGGUUAGCCUUUGCUCAUGUUUUAGUGUCUGCGAUUUCUCCUAGAAUUACAAUGUUUAUAGGUCUAGAGGCUCAACCUAUAACCCAGACCUGGGAUGACUCCCUUAUCUCCAGGUUGGGCCCUUGCUGUUCUUUAAGAAUUUGGUAGAAUGUUCUCUGAUGUUCCUGUACUGCACAGACAUGUAGCCUACCCCCGAGCGUCCAACUUUCCGAACAAGAAUUAAAAACGGAUUAAGUCAACAAAUAGACACACGCUUGCCGGCUUUUCUGAGCACGGGAGGAGGUAGUCAGUCACUUCCUGAUCUGAGGCUCCAAGUCACAUUUGGAAGAAGGGACCUUAGGGGCUGGCUGCUGCUUUCCUCAUGGGAUACCUGCCUUCUAGGAGCUGCAGGUAGCCUGGGGGUUAGAGUAUUGCUUGGGCCUGUAGACAGAUAGAAACCGAGAGCUGGGCAGACUCCCCGAAGUCUGAAGAGAUGAGGCUGUAGAAAAGGGCUCAGAAUUUACCAGGCUAGAAGAGCUGACCCAUUCUGAGCAGGAAGAACGGGAAAGGAGCAGGAGAAUAUGGUGGUUGGUUUUCUCUGGAGAGAAGAGCAGAUGAGGCUGUCUGCAAAGUUGCAAGGGUGGGGCUGCCAGGGGUUGGCCCAACCGGGCUCUAAGACAGGCCAAGACUGUAGAAAGAGUGUCAGAGCUUGGCCGCUGUGUGUUUUGUCACAGGGGAGGUGACCUUGCCCAAGGGCAGUGCCUCAUGGUGGAGAGAAACCAGGACAGAGGAUUGGGCUUGUGCAAGGGGCCCGUGCUGGGCCCCUCGUCUCUGAGAUUACAGUCUUGGCUGCCAAGAGCAACUCUGUGGGGGUGGAAUGAGACAAAGCGAAGGUCCUUUUGUGGCGCUGGGUUCCUAAGAAUAGCCAGGGCUGGGCUCCACCAGAGAUGCCUCCAUAGCCUGUCAUGUCCCCAGCCCUGUUCUCAGAGGUGUCCCUGUGCCUGGUGUCCACCAUACUGAUUGCCAGUUGUCGGGGGAGUGGAGCUCAUUAGCCCCACCUCAGCCUCUGUCACCUGUGUUUGUCCAGCUCUGCUGUAAGAGAAGGCAGAGGGCAGAGGAGGAGUGAGCACAGAGUUGGCAUGCAUGUGUUAGGGAGGGAGGCAAAGGCCACGAGCCUGGAAAAGCAAACUGGAGCCACAGCUGGAAACAGUGAUGCACCUGGGAGGAGAGAAGGUGGAACGGGAGGAGCCAGCAUUGGCCAGAUGUGGGAACAGGAGACACCAGAGCUGGGGAGACUUGUGGGAAGCAGCGGCAGGAAGUGCAUGGAGGCAGAGAAGCAGAGGCGAAACCAG